UACAGAGGGUGCAAACGUUGUUCGGAUUUACUGGGCGUAAAGCGCGUGUAGGCUGCUUCGCAAGUCGGAUGUGAAAGCCCUGAGCUCAACCCAGGAAGUGCAUUCGAAACUGCAGAGCUGGAGUCCUGGAGAGGAAGGCGGAAUUCUCGGUGUAGAGGUGAAAUUCGUAGAUAUCAAGAGGAACACCUGAGGUGAAGACGGGUUGCUGGGCUGACACUGACGCUGAGGCGCGAAAGCCAGGGGAGCAAACGGG
rnacentral:rRNA from 1 species